GACGAACGCUGGCGGCGUGCUUAACACAUGCAAGUCGAACGAUGAAGCCGGAGCUUGCUCUGGUGAAUUAGUGGCGAACGGGUGAGUAACACGUGAGUAACCUGCCCUUGACUCUGGGAUAACUGCGGGAAACUGUAGCUAAUACCGGAUACGACCCUCGGAGGCAUCUCCUGGGGGUGGAAAUAAUUUCGGUCAAGGAUGGACUCGCGGCCUAUCAGCUAGUUGGUGAGGUAAAGGCUCACCAAGGCGACGAAGGGUAGCCGGCCUGAGAGGGUGACCGGCCACACUGGGACUGAGACACGGCCCAGACUUCUACGGGAGGCAGCAGUGGGGAAUAUUGCACAAUGGGCGCAAGCCUGAUGCAGCAACGCCGCGUGAGGGAUGACGGCCUUCGGGUUGUAAACCUCUUUUAGCAGGGAAGAAGCCGCAAGGUGACGGCACCUGCAGAAGAAGCACCGGCUAACUACGUGCCAGCAGCCGCCGUAA
rnacentral:rRNA from 1 species